rnacentral:rRNA from 1 species
GAUGAACGCUAGCGGCAGGCUUAACACAUGCAAGUCGAGGGGUAGAGGAAGCUUGCUUCCUUGAGACCGGCGCACGGGUGCGUAACGCGUAUGCAACCUACCUUUUACAGAGGGAUAGCCCAGAGAAAUUUGGAUUAAUACCUCAUAGUAUAUGUUUUUCGCAUGUUAGACAUAUUAAAGUUCCAACGGUAAAAGAUGGGCAUGCGUCCUAUUAGCUAGAUGGUAAGGUAACGGCUUACCAUGGCAACGAUAGGUAGGGGUCCUGAGAGGGAGAUCCCCCACACUGGUACUGAGACACGGACCAGACUCCUACGGGAGGCAGCAGUGAGGAAUAUUGGACAAUGGGCGCAAGCCUGAUCCAGCCAUGCCGCGUGCAGGAAGAAGCAUCUAUGGUGUGUAAACUGCUUUUGUACGGGAAGAAACACUCCCUCGUGAGGGAGCUUGACGGUACCGUAAGAAUAAGGAUCGGCUAACUCCGUGCCAGCCGCCGCCGUAACAC